rnacentral:rRNA from 1 species
GGCAGCACGGAGCUUGCUCUGGUGGCGAGUGGCGAACGGGUGAGUAAUAUAUCGGAACGUACCCUAGAGUGGGGGAUAACGUAGCGAAAGUUACGCUAAUACCGCAUACGAUCUAAGGAUGAAAGUGGGGGAUCGCAAGACCUCAUGCUCGUGGAGCGGCCGAUAUCUGAUUAGCUAGUUGGUAGGGUAAAAGCCUACCAAGGCAUCGAUCAGUAGCUGGUCUGAGAGGACGACCAGCCACACUGGAACUGAGACACGGUCCAGACUCCUACGGGAGGCAGCAGUGGGGAAUUUUGGACAAUGGGCGAAAGCCUGAUCCAGCAAUGCCGCGUGAGUGAAGAAGGCCUUCGGGUUGUAAAGCUCUUUUGUCAGGGAAGAAACGGUGAGAGCUAAUAUCUUUUGCUAAUGACGGUACCUGAAGAAUAAGCACCGGCUAACUACGUGCCAGCAGCCGCGGUAAUACGUAGGGUGCAAGCGUUAAUCGGAAUUACUGGGCGUAAAGCGUGCGCAGGCGGUUUUGUAAGUCUGAUGUGAAAUCCCCGGGCUCAACCUGGGAAUUGCAUUGGAGACUGCAAGGCUAGAAUCUGGCAGAGGGGGGUAGAAUUCCACGUGUAGCAGUGAAAUGCGUAGAUAUGUGGAGGAACACCGAUGGCGAAGGCAGCCCCCUGGGUCAAGAUUGACGCUCAUGCACGAAAGCGUGGGGAGCAAACAGGAUUAGAUACCCUGGUAGUCCACGCCCUAAACGAUGUCUACUAGUUGUCGGGUCUUAAUUGACUUGGUAACGCAGCUAACGCGUGAAGUAGACCGCCUGGGGGAGUACGGUCGCAAGAUUAAAA